rnacentral:rRNA from 1 species
AAACCAGCACCUCAAGUGGUCAGGAUGAUUAUUGGGCCUAAAGCAUCCGUAGCCUGUCCUGUAAGUUUUCGGUUAAAUCUGUAUGCUCAACAUACAGGCUGCCGGGAAUACUGCAGGACUGGGGAGUGGGAGAGGUAGACGGUACUCGGGAGGAAGUGGUAAAAUGCUUUGAUCUCUCGAUGACCACCUGUGGCGAAGGCGGUCUACCAGAACACGUCCGACGGUGAGGGAUGAAAGCUGGGGGAGCAAACCGGAUUAGAAACCCCGGUAGUCC